ACGACAUGGUUAUUACCACCUGGCGAAUUUAAACGCGAAGACAUGUAUCGAAGGUAUUGGAAACAAGUUCAAUAUCUGGUAGAUUCCUUCUGGAAACGAUGGCAAAGAGAAUAUCUCUUAACUUUACAACAACGUUCUAAGUGGACAGUUUCGAAACGUAAUGUUUGUAUAAACGAUAUUGUGCUAUUAGUGGAUGAUAACGCUCCGCGAAACCAGUGGAAAAUGGGACGUGUUACCAAAGUGUAUUAUGACUGUAAAAACCUAGUUAGAAGUGUUUGUGUUAAGACACAAUUCUCAGAAUUUCAAAGACCUAUCUCAAAAUUAGUACUCAUUUUGCCCUAAUAUGUAUUUGGUUAAACCGUACGUUUAAGGGGCCGGAAUGUUAGGGCCAAAUUUCGUUUGUAUAGAUCCGAGUCCAUUAUUUUGUUGCUAUUAUAUCCAAGUCAAUGUUUUAGAUAUGCAUUUCCUGUCUUAACCUAGGGUCAAGGCUGUUAGCCUGAUUGUAUUUUAUGAAGCCAUGUGCUUUUAUUCAUUUUUUCAACGUACUAACGUGUUCACUUAUUAACGGUUCAUAAACAUGUUGUAAACCCCUCAGUUAUCUUGCAAGUCAAAAACCAUUCACUCGACAUUCACCAUUCAACAUUCAUUCAACAUUUAUU